rnacentral:rRNA from 1 species
CGAUUGUAGUCAUAUGCUUGUCUCAAAGAUUAAGCCAUGCAUGUCUAAGUAUAAAUUCUUGUACGAUGAAACUGCAGACGGCUCAUUACAACAGUGAUAAACUGCUAGACUUUCGGGUUUUUAACCUUUUGGAUAACCGCAGUAAAUCGGGGCUAAUACAUAGAAGCGAUGGGCGACUGGUAACGGAAGCUCAGCGAUUAUUAGCAUAACUACCAAUACCUUCGGGUCUUGUGGUGAAACCGAAUAAUAUUGCAGAUCGAAGAUUUAUCUUCGACAAGUCUAAUGUGUCACUGCCCUAUCAACUUUCGAUGGUACGGUAUUGGCCUACCAUGGUUGUAACGGGUAACGGGGAAUUAGGGUUCGAUUCCGGAGAGGGAGCCUGAGAAAUGGCUACCACUUCUACGGAAGGCAGCAGGCGCGCAAAUUACUCAAUCCCAAUACGGGGAAGUAGUGACAAUAAAUAUCAAUACCUAUCCUUAAUGGAGGGCAAUUGAAAUGAACACAAAUUAAAACUCUUAAUUAACACAAUUGGAGGGCAAGUCUGGUA